ACAAAACCAGGUCCCUAAAGCUUUACUGCAAUAUGUAGUCUUUAUAGAAAUAAUUUUCCAAAACCUAGUGAAGUUGAGAAUGAAAUGUGCCAUGACAAAGCACACAACUCCUGGCCACCAACCCUGCCAGUCCUUCACAACACUCCCAGGAAGAUGUUCAACAUAGCUGUGUUCACAAGAGCUAGGAUUUGGAGGUACAUGGCUACUUCGUUUUGAGGGUCACCCCAAAGUGUGGAGAAGUAAGAAACAGAAUAACAACGAAAAAAAAAUGUUUAAGUUGGCUCCAUCUCAAAUUCUUCAGGGUGUUGUGUUUGACUAGGUAAAAAGGAUGACCUGAGAUCACUUCAAGAGAAUACUUUAUUCCUCCUCAUUGCCUUAGCAUUUAUAAUGUACAGAAACAUUUCAUUCUAAAGCACAAGAGAUGACUGAGGAGAGAUGGCAAUGAUACUUGGAGCCAAAACUACAAGGACAGUGCCUCUUGCCCAUACUCCUACAUAAGUAUUCCCUUGUUUGUGGGUCCUUCCACUCUAGCUACCCCACUUCCUGGAGCUAUUCCUAGAGGUGCCCAUGAGAAUGUCUGGAUCUACCCAGAGUGAAGUCAUCCUACUCCCCCUGCAGAGCUGCUCCCAGGAGAACACAAGCACUCCUUGAGGACAUUAGCAAAGAGCUGCUGAAAUCACAAGGGUCACAGUGGACUCCGUUCUUGGCUUCUGUGCAUGCUGUUCCUAUUGCUUGGCAUGUCAAGCUGUCCACUGCCCUUUUCUGACAAACAACUCAUUCUCCAAGACUCAAAUCAGACAUCCCUUCUCAACAAAAUUCUCCCCAGUUCUUCUCAUAAAACAUCCUUCAUUAUCUAUUAUGGUGCUAAAUUUUCAUGAUGCAUGAGCAGUGCCUGUUAUGUGUCUAUCUUGACCAGCAGACCAGCUAUUCUGUUUGAAGACAACAACAUAUAAAACAAUGCAGAGAGCAAGUCAUAAGAGAGAAUGAUGAAAGGGCAAAGUGCUAGGAGCCCCGGGGCACCAAAUCCCAGGGAUUUGCACUCAUCCAUCCUAGGUGCUGUCCUUGGCUGUCUAGUCUCUGACUGAAGUAAUUUUAAGGAAGGAUUAAAAAAAAAAAAGUCAAGA